GGGGCCCCUUUUCUCCACAUGCUCGCCAGCUAGGAGUUUUAUGGUUUCAGGUCUUCCAUUCAAGUCUUUAAUCCAUUUUGAGUUGAUUUUGUGUAUAGUGUAGGAUAGGGGUCUAGUUGCAUUUGUCUGCAUGUGGCUAUCAAGUUUUCCCAACACCAUUUAUUGAAGACACUGUUCUUUCCCCAUCGUAUAUUUUUGGAAACUUUGUUAAAAAUUUAUUAACCAUAUAUGUAUGGAUUUAUUUCUAGGCUCUUCAUUCUGUUGCCUUGAUAUACGUGCCUGCUUUUAUGCCAAUAUCAUACUGUUUUCAUUACUAUAGCCUUGUAAUAUGGUUUGGUGAUGCCUCCAGCCUUGUUCUUCUUUCUCAAGAUUGCUUUGGCUAUUUGGGGUUUUUUCUGUGAUUCUAUACAAAUGCUAGGAUUUCUUUUUCUGUUUCUUGAAAAAUGCCUUUAGAAAUUUGAUAGCAUCUGGGAAAGUAUGUAUUAAGGCCCUUCCAGGGAGAAACUAGGUGAUGGGUAUUUUUGCCUGCUCCCUCUGCACUGAUGCUGGGUGUAUAGCCAUAGGGGGAGUACUCCUGUGCCUUAAAAUUUUCUUCUUUGUUUACUACAGUCCUGUGGGACUCAUGAAUGUAUGCCCCAUUCGCUAUUAGAGUCAGUCAUCAAGGGACCCACCCUCCAGGGGCAGUCACAAAAGUUGGGUUGCUAGCCAUGUGACAAGCUCCUUCCAGGGAGACACUGGUGACUUGGUUUUAUUGUUCAGGUAGGACAGAGGGCGAAUGAGGGAGAAAUAGGUAUUUUGGCCUGCUACCUCUGUGCUGACCCCCGGGGCAACAGCCCUGCUGAAUGUGCAAGCACCAUUUGGAACUGUUCCUUUGUUUGCUGUAGUUGUGGGUGUCAUAGAGGCAAACCCUGUUGGCUUUCAGAGCUAGGUGUUUGGGGGGCUCAUCACUUGGGUGGGAGUCUUAAAAGCUGGCUCACUAGAUAUGCAGCUGAAUCCCUUCACUCCUCAGAGAGAAGCUGGGAGUUGGAGGUUCCUUCCCUAUUGUAUGGCACUGGUGUGGGGGUGCGGUGUAUGGCGAGAGCACAUCAGCCUUUCCAACCCGUUUCAAUGUGGGUAUUUUCUCAGUCACCCAAUAUGUAAGAGUUGCUCGUCUAGUUUCCGUAUUUCUCUCAGAGGGCAUUUCUCCAUGUGCAUCUGUCCUUUUGGUGCCUUCAUGGGAGGAGGGAAGUUCAGAAGCCUCCUAUGCUGCCAUUUUGGCUGAGUCUCCCAUCUCUACUCAUUCUUCAACCU
rnacentral:lncRNA from 1 species